rnacentral:SRP_RNA from 1 species
UGUCCGCGCUAAGGCCGGCAUCGAUAUGGUGGUCCUGGGGGAGCCAUGGGCCACCAGGUCGCCUAAGGAGGGGUGAACCGGCCCAGGUCGGAGACGGAGCAGGUCAAAGCUCCCGUGCUGGUCAGUAGUGGGAUCGCG